rnacentral:lncRNA from 1 species
UCUCCUCGUCGCUGCUCUCCCUUUCCUUCCCCAAAUCUUGAUGGCCAACCCUCUCCCUUCCAGCCCUGACUCUCACCGUGGCAGACAAAACCACCAAGGAGGCUUUGGGGACCUUCCAGCUGCCGGUGAGGCACCUCCAGCCCUUCCAUCCUCACCACUGCAGGCUGGUGCUGCCGAGGACACGGGACCUUGGGGGGACAGUCCUGCACGUCACCAUCACCCGCAAAGGGAGCUUCAUCCCCAGCUGCCAUGGCUUCAGCUACGUGGCCCUGGAGGUGAGAGGUGGCCCUGGGGACAGGGGGGGUGGCAGGGAGGGUUUGCAGGGUCCAGGGUGGCUUCUGGGCUCCGGGGAGGAGGUUGUCACACUUGGCCUCCUGCUCUGGUGGCUGUAGAUGUUGCCUCCCCCCUCUCCCACCACCCCUUACCAUUUGCUGACCCCUCACUGUGGGGUCCCCACUGUCCUCAGGUGCUGCUGCAGGGGCUGUCAGCCCCCCUGGCCACCCCCCCAGGGACCCUGGUUGCCGUGGCCAGAGUUGUGACCAAUGUUCAGGAGUACACGUGAGUGAUGGCCCCAUGGUGACACGGGAGAGGGGACAACAUGAGCAUCCCUGU